rnacentral:rRNA from 1 species
GACGAACGCUGGCGGCGUGCUUAACACAUGCAAGUCGAACGCUGAAGCUUGGUGCUUGCGCUGGGUGGAUGAGUGGCGAACGGGUGAGUAAUACGUGAGUAACCUGCCCUUGACUCUGGGAUAAGCCUGGGAAACUGGGUCUAAUACUGGAUACGACAUGCCGCUGCAUGGUGGUGUGUGGAAAGGGUUUUACUGGUUUUGGAUGGGCUCACGGCCUAUCAGCUUGUUGGUGGGGUAAUGGCCUACCAAGGCGACGACGGGUAGCCGGCCUGAGAGGGUGACCGGCCACACUGGGACUGAGACACGGCCCAGACUCCUACGGGAGGCAGCAGUGGGGAAUAUUGCACAAUGGGCGGAAGCCUGAUGCAGCGACGCCGCGUGAGGGAUGACGGCCUUCGGGUUGUAAACCUCUUUCAGCACGGAAGAAGCGAGAGUGACGGUACGUGCAGAAGAAGCGCCGGCUAACUACGUG